AUUGAACGCUGGCGGCAUGCCUUACACAUGCAAGUCGAACGGCAGCGGGCCUUCGGGUGCCGGCGAGUGGCGAACGGGUGAGUAAUGCAUCGGAACGUGCCAUUGAGUGGGGGAUAACGUAGCGAAAGUUGCGCUAAUACCGCAUAUUCUGUGAGCAGGAAAGCAGGGGACCGCAAGGCCUUGCGCUCUUUGAGCGGCCGAUGUCAGAUUAGCUAGUUGGUGAGGUAAAGGCUUACCAAGGCGAUGAUCUGUAGCGGGUCUGAGAGGAUGAUCCGCCACACUGGAACUGAGACACGGUCCAGACUCCUACGGGAGGCAGCAGUGGGGAAUUUUGGACAAUGGGGGCAACCCUGAUCCAGCCAUGCCGCGUGAGUGAAGAAGGCCUCGG
rnacentral:rRNA from 1 species